rnacentral:lncRNA from 1 species
CUCAGUGAAACUGCUUUGGGCACGGUGGGGACUUCUGUGACUGAGCUGGAGGGAACCGAAUAAAAAGGGGGCCAAAAUGGAAGCAGAGAUGGGGACAAAGAGGGUAGGGCGUCCGUGAGUAUUGGCAAAAUGGGACAGUUUCUGUUAGGAGGAUGCAAGCUGUUGGAAUGCAGAAGAUUUGGAAGGGGAGCUUCGGGAAGGGAGGCACAGCAGUUUUCCUCCAAACAGAAGAGCAGUAGAGGGACCUCCCUCAGAGGACUGCUUCAGCCGAGGAAACUCUGCGUUAGGGAGACAUCGUCAAAACAGAACAAAAUAAAAAAAUACAAAAAGGAGGGGGAUCAAGAGAUGGAUAGAACAAGAUACAUCAUGAAAGGUACAAGAUCCCAAUGAUGAAUGUAACCGGACUGUAUACCUAAAAUAUACUAAUAAAGUCAAUGGAAAAACAGAUGGAUGGAGAAUAGAAGGGAAGAGAAAGGGGAUGAAAAGAAGAUGUGUUGUGUACUCUUAUCAACUCCCAACAAGAAAUGUAAAUGGAAAGAAAGAAAGAAAGGUAACUAGAGAAAGUAAUAAAGGAAGGAAGAAGGAAAAGAAGGAAGGAAGGAAG